GAAGACGUGUUGAUAAAAACGAUCCCAGCUGGAAAAUGGUGUCUUAAAAAGAGCUUGGAGGGGAACGCCAAUCCCUCCUCCCUCCCCCAGUGCCUCUCUCGUCUUCUAAUGUGAGGAUCCAGUCACUGCAUUACGUUAUCAACCGCAGGGGCCCGCGGGCACCUACGACUGUCAGGCACUCCCGCAGAAUAAACAGUCGGAGAAAAGCCUUGGGACGUAGCCUAACCUUGACAGCGUGCUGGGACAGUAUCUCCCGUUUGCAAAAGGGGCUGUAUUCACAGUUCUCACAUCUUGGGGAARCGGAGCUGCAACAAGUUCAAGGAACAAAUCUCAAUUUACACAGUGUCUGUAGCGGAGCUGCGACCAGAUUUUUUGAUCUUUACUCUUCAGACUGCUGCUCCAGUUGCUCAACUACUUUGUUUAGCUGGAAUUUUUGUUGUCUCGUGAGCSAAGACUGCUCUCAUUGCUGUACAGCCUGAAGAAAAAGAUGAGCCUGGAAAAGCAGCGGGCAGAAAUGAAAUGCUCGGGCACUAAGGACGCAUACCUCGCUUGCUGCCUGGAAAUCCCACUUCUGCAGAGAGAGGCCUGGGGAUCAGAAGCAGCAGCUGAGAAGAGAAGCGCGACUCCCUGGUAAGUGUAUG
rnacentral:lncRNA from 1 species